CACGUAGGGUGCGAGCGUUGUCCGGAAUUAUUGGGCGGAAAGAGCUCGUAGGCGGUGUGUCGCGUCGGCCGUGAAAACCUGCAGCUUAACUGUGGGCUUGCGGUCGAUACGGGCAUCACUGGAGUUCGGCAGGGGAGACUGGAAUUCCUGGUGUAGCGGUGAAAUGCGCAGAUAUCAGGAGGAACACCGGUGGCGAAGGCGGGUCUCUGGGCCGAUACUGACGCUGAGGAGCGAAAGCGUGGGGAGCGAACGGG
rnacentral:rRNA from 1 species